GAUGAACGCUGGCGGCGUGCCUAAUACAUGCAAGUCGAGCGAACGGACGAGAAGCUUGCUUCUCUGAUGUUAGCGGCGGACGGGUGAGUAACACGUGGAUAACCUACCUAUAAGACUGGGAUAACUUCGGGAAACCGGAGCUAAUACCGGAUAAUAUUUUGAACCGCAUGGUUCAAAAGUGAAAGACGGUCUUGCUGUCACUUAUAGAUGGAUCCGCGCUGCAUUAGCUAGUUGGUAAGGUAACGGCUUACCAAGGCAACGAUGCAUAGCCGACCUGAGAGGGUGAUAGGCCACACUGGAACGGGGACACGGUCCAGACUACUACGGGAGGCAGCAGUAGGGAAUCUUCCGCAAUGGGCGAAAGCCUGACGGAGCAACGCCGCGUGAGUGAUGAAGGUCUUCGGAUCGUAAAACUCUGUUAUUAGGGAAGAACAUAUGUGUAAGUAACUGUGCACAUCUUGACGGUACCUAAUCAGAAAGCCACGGCUAACUACGUG
rnacentral:rRNA from 1 species